AGAGUUUGAUCAUGGCUCAGAACGAACGCUGGCGGCGGGCCUAAUACAUGCAAGUCGAACGAGAAAAUCCGGCUUCGGCUGGGUGAGUAAAGUGGCGAACGGGUGAGUAACACGUGGGCAAUCUGCCCUUAAGUUUGGGAUAAGCCCUCGAAAGGGGGUCUAAUACCGGAUAAUAUCCGGAGAUGGCAUCUUUUCCGGAUCAAAGGCGGAGCAAUCUGCCGCUUAGGGAUGAGCCCGCGUCCCAUUAGCUUGUUGGUGAGGUAACGGCUCACCAAGGCUGUGAUGGGUAGCCGGCCUGAGAGGGUGAUCGGCCACACUGGGACUGAGAUACGGCCCAGACUCCUACGGGAGGCAGCAGUAGGGAAUAUUGCGCAAUGGACGAAAGUCUGACGCAGCCACGCCGCGUGGAUGAUGAAGCUUUUCGGAGUGUAAAAUCCUGUCAGUGGGGAAGAACCGGUCGGGGAGUAACUGCCCCGGCCCUGACGGUACCCGCAGAGGAAGUUCCGGCUAACUCCGUGCCAGCAGCCGCGGUAAUACGGGGGGAACAAGCGUUGUUCGGAUUCACUGGGCGUAAAGGGCGUGUAGGCGGAUUUGCAAGUCAGAUGUGAAAACCGGCGGCUCAACCACCGGCCUGCAUCUGAUACUGCUAAUCUUGAGUACGGUAGAGGAAAGUGGAAUUCCAGGUGUAGCGGUGACAUGCGUAGAUAUCUGGAAGAACACCGGUGGCGAAGGCGGCUUUCUGGGCCGAUACUGACGCUGAGGCGCGAAAGCCAGGGGAGCAAACAGGAUUAGAUACCCUGGUAGUCCUGGCCGUAAACGAUGGGUACUAGGUGUUGGAGGUAUCGACCCCUUCAGUGCCGCAGCAAACGCAUUAAGUACCCCGCCUGGGGAGUACGAUCGCAAGGUUGAAACUCAAAUGAAUUGACGG
rnacentral:rRNA from 1 species